rnacentral:rRNA from 1 species
AUUGAACGCUGGCGGCAUGCUUUACACAUGCAAGUCGAACGGCAGCGCGGGCUUCGGCCUGGCGGCGAGUGGCGAACGGGUGAGUAAUACAUCGGAACGUGCCCAGUAGUGGGGGAUAGCUCGGCGAAAGCCGGAUUAAUACCGCAUACGACCUGAGGGUGAAAGCGGGGGAUCUUCGGACCUCGCGCUAUUGGAGCGGCCGAUGGCAGAUUAGCUAGUUGGUGGGGUAAAGGCCUACCAAGGCGACGAUCUGUAGCUGGUCUGAGAGGACGACCAGCCACACGGGAACGAGGACAGGGCCCAGAUCCCUAGGGAAGCCACAGGGGGGAAAUUUGGAAAAAGGGCGGAAGGCCGAACCAAGAAAGGCGGGGGGUGGAAGAAAGGCCUUGGGGUUGAAAAGAACUUUGGGGGGGAACAAAAGGAACGGGGCAAAAACACGGUUCGAUGACGGUACCCGCAGAAUAAGCACCGGCUAACUACGUG